rnacentral:tRNA from 1 species
AGGGGCGUAGUUCAAUUGGUAGAGCACCGGUCUCCAAAAUCGGGUGUUGGGAGUUCGAGUCUCUCCGCCCCUG